GGGGAAAAAGCUCAGUGGCAGAGCGUGUGCUUAACAUGCAUGAGGUCCUGGGUUUAAUCCCCAGUAUCUCCA
rnacentral:tRNA from 1 species